rnacentral:rRNA from 1 species
GAUGAACGCUGGCGGCGUGCCUAAUACAUGCAAGUCGAGCGAACAGACGAGGAGCUUGCUCCUCUGACGUUAGCGGCGGACGGGUGAGUAACACGUGGAUAACCUACCUAUAAGACUGGGAUAACUUCGGGAAACCGGAGCUAAUACCGGAUAAUAUAUUGAACCGCAUGGUUCAAUAGUGAAAGACGGUUUUGCUGUCACUUAUAGAUGGAUCCGCGCCGCAUUAGCUAGUUGGUAAGGUAACGGCUUACCAAGGCAACGAUGCGUAGCCGACCUGAGAGGUGAUUCGGCACAACGGGACCUGAGCCACGUCCCAAACUCCAACGGGAGGCAGCGGUGGGGAAUCUUCCGCAGUGGGCAAAAGCUUACCGGGGCAACGCCGCGUGAGUGAUAAAGGUCUUCGGAUCGUAAAACUUUGUUAUAGGGAAGAACAAAUGUGUAAGUAACUAUGCACGUCUUGACGGUACCUAAUCAGAAAGCCACGGCUAACUACGUG